rnacentral:pre_miRNA from 1 species
CAAUCCUGCAUCAAGUGCAUUGUUACGUUAUUCUGCAAUCAGCAAUGCAUUGCACGCAGGGUAGCGUUAAUGUGUUAG